AUUGAACGCUGGCGGCAGGCUUAACACAUGCAAGUCGAGCGGAGCGAGGGUGCUUGCACCUUAGCUUAGCGGCGGACGGGUGAGUAAUGCUUAGGAAUCUGCCUAUUAGUGGGGGACAACAUUCCGAAAGGAAUGCCAAUACCGCAUACGCCCUACGGGGGAAAGCAGGGGAUCUUCGGACCUUGCGCUACUAGAUGAGCCUAAGCCGGAUUAGCUAGUUGGUGGGGUAAAGGCCUACCAAGGCGACGAUCUGUAGCGGGUCUGGGAGGAUGGUCCGCCACACUGGGACUGAGACACGGCCCAGACUCCUACGGGAGGCAGCAGUGGGGAAUAUUGGACAAUGGGCGGAAGCCUGAUCCAGCCAUGCCGCGUGUGUGAAGAAGGCCUUUUGGUUGUAAAGCACUUUAAGCGAGGAGGAGGCUCUUAAGGUUAAUACCCUUGAUGAGUGGACGUUACUCGCAGAAUAAGCACCGGCUAACUCUGUGCCAGCCGCCGCCGUAAAAC
rnacentral:rRNA from 1 species